rnacentral:rRNA from 1 species
ACUAGAAUGAAUGGUCAAAUGAGGACUAAACUGUCUCUUACAUCCAACCAAUAAAACUGAUCUUUUAGUUAAAAAGCUAAAAUAGACACAUAAGACGAGAAGACCCUGUGGAGCUUUAAACCAAGCCCAAAAAUAUGCCCACUUGGUUUUUAGUUGGGGCGACUUCGGAGUACAAAAAAACCUCCAAUCGGACCUCACGUGCUAAGACAAACAUGCCAAAACACAUUUAAACCUAGACCCAGAGUUUAAAUACUACCUGACCAAUGAACCAAGUUACCCCAGGGAUAACAGCGCCAUCCUCUUCCAGAGUCCAUAUCGACAAGAGGGUUUACGACCUCGAUGUUGGAUCAGGACUCCCUAAUAGUGCAGCCGCUAUUNAAG